GGGCUUGUGGUUUAGUGGUAUAAUUUUCCCUUAGCAUGUCGCAUGGCCUCUUGAGAUCAGCGUCAUUCAUGGGAAAGGUCCUGGGUUCGAUUCCCAGCAAGUCCA